rnacentral:rRNA from 1 species
UACGUAGGGGGCAAGCGUUGUCCGGAUUUAUUGGGCGUAAAGCGUGCGCAGGCGGCGCGUUAAGACAGGUGUGAAAGCCCCGAGCUUAACUUGGGAAUUGCGCUUGUGACUGGCGGGCUGGAGUGUGGCAGAGGGAGGUGGAAUUCCACGUGUAGCAGUGAAAUGCGUAGAGAUGUGGAGGAACACCGAUGGCGAAGGCAGCCUCCUGGGCCAGCACUGACGCUCAUGCACGAAAGCGUGGGGAGCAAACAGG